GACGAACGCUGGCGGCGUGCCUAAUACAUGCAAGUAGAACGCUGAAGAGAGGAGCUUGCUCUUCUUGGAUGAGUUGCGAACGGGUGAGUAACGCGUAGGUAACCUGCCUGGUAGCGGGGGAUAACUAUUGGAAACGAUAGCUAAUACCGCAUAAAAUGGAUUAUCGCAUGAUAAUCCAUUGAAAGGUGCAAAUGCAUCACUACCAGAUGGACCUGCGUUGUAUUAGCUAGUUGGUGGGGUAACGGCUCACCAAGGCGACGAUACAUAGCCGACCUGAGAGGGUGAUCGGCCACACUGGGACUGAGACACGGCCCAGACUCCUACGGGAGGCAGCAGUAGGGAAUCUUCGGCAAUGGACGGAAGUCUGACCGAGCAACGCCGCGUGAGUGAAGAAGGUUUUCGGAUCGUAAAGCUCUGUUGUAAGAGAAGAACGAGUGUGAGAGUGGAAAGUUCACACUGUGACGGUAGCUUACCAGAAAGGGACGGCUAACUACGUG
rnacentral:rRNA from 1 species